AGCGGCGGAUGGGUGAGUAACACGUGGGGAACCUGCCCCUAAGUCUGGGAUACCAUUUGGAAACAGGAGCUAAUACCGGAUAAUAAAGCAGAUCGCAUGAUCAGCUUUUGAAAGGCGGCGUAAGCUGUCGCUAAGGGAUGGCCCCGCGGUGCAUUAGCUAGUUGGUAAGGUAACGGCUUACCAAGGCGACGAUGCAUAGCCGAGUUGAGAGACUGAUCGGCCACAUUGGGACUGAGACACGGCCCAAACUCCUACGGGAGGCAGCAGUAGGGAAUCUUCCACAAUGGACGCAAGUCUGAUGGAGCAACGCCGCGUGAGUGAAGAAGGUUUUCGGAUCGUAAAGCUCUGUUGUUGGUGAAGAAGGAUAGAGGUAGUAACUGGCCUUUAUUUGACGGUAAUCAACCAGAAAGUCACGGCUAACUACGUGCCAGCAGCCGCGGUAAUACGUAGGUGGCAAGCGUUGUCCGGAUUUAUUGGGCGUAAAGCGAGCGCAGGCGGAAAAAUAAGUCUAAUGUGAAAGCCCUCGGCUUAACCGAGGAACUGCAUCGGAAACUGUUUUUCUUGAGUGCAGAAGAGGAGAGUGGAACUCCAUGUGUAGCGGUGGAAUGCGUAGAUAUAUGGAAGAACACCAGUGGCGAAGGCGGCUCUCUGGUCUGCAACUGACGCUGAGGCUCGAAAGCAUGGGUAGCGAACAGGAUUAGAUACCCUGGUAGUCCAUGCCGUAAACGAUGAGUGCUAAGUGU
rnacentral:rRNA from 1 species